UUAUUUGAGAGUUUGAUCCUGGCUCAGGAUGAACGCUGGCGGCGUGCCUAACACAUGCAAGUUGAGCGAUUUACUUCGGUAAAGAGCGGCGGACGGGUGAGUAACGCGUGGGUAACCUACCCUGUACACACGGAUAACAUACCGAAAGGUAUGCUAAUACGGGAUAAUAUAUUUGAGAGGCAUCUCUUGAAUAUCAAAGGUGAGCCAGUACAGGAUGGACCCGCGUCUGAUUAGCUAGUUGGUAAGGUAACGGCUUACCAAGGCGACGAUCAGUAGCCGACCUGAGAGGGUGAUCGGCCACAUUGGAACUGAGACACGGUCCAAACUCCUACGGGAGGCAGCAGUGGGGAAUAUUGCACAAUGGGCGAAAGCCUGAUGCAGCAACGCCGCGUGAGUGAUGAAGGCCUUCGGGUCGUAAAACUCUGUCCUCAAGGAAGAUAAUGACGGUACUUGAGGAGGAAGCCCCGGCUAACUACGUGCCAGCAGCCGCGGUAAUACGUAGGGGGCUAGCGUUAUCCGGAUUUACUGGGCGUAAAGGGUGCGUAGGCGGUCUUUCAAGUCAGGAGUGAAAGGCUACGGCUCAACCGUAGUAAGCUCUUGAAACUGGGAGACUUGAGUGCAGGAGAGGAGAGUGGAAUUCCUAGUGUAGCGGUGAAAUGCGUAGAUAUUAGGAGGAACACCAGUUGCGAAGGCGGCUCUCUGGACUGUAACUGACGCUGAGGCACGAAAGCGUGGGGAGCAAACAGGAUUAGAUACCCUGGUAGUCCACGCUGUAAACGAUGAGUACUAGGUGUCGGGGG
rnacentral:rRNA from 1 species